GAUGAACGCUAGCUACAGGCUUAACACAUGCAAGUCGAGGGGAAACGACAUCGAAAGCUUGCUUUUGAUGGGCGUCGACCGGCGCACGGGUGAGUAACGCGUAUCCAACCUGCCCACCACUUGGGGAUAACCUUGCGAAAGUAAGACUAAUACCCAAUGAUAUCUCUAGAAGACAUCUGAAAGGGAUUAAAGAUUUAUCGGUGAUGGAUGGGGAUGCGUCUGAUUAGCUUGUUGGCGGGGUAACGGCCCACCAAGGCUACGAUCAGUAGGGGUUCUGAGAGGAAGGUCCCCCACAUUGGAACUGAGACACGGUCCAAACUCCUACGGGAGGCAGCAGUGAGGAAUAUUGGUCAAUGGACGGGAGUCUGAACCAGCCAAGUAGCGUGCAGGAUGACGGCCCUAUGGGUUGUAAACUGCUUUUAUAAGGGAAUAAAGUGAGUCUCGUGAGACUUUUGCAUGCACCUUAUGAAUAAGGACCGGCUAAUUCCGUGCCAGCCGCCGCCGUAA
rnacentral:rRNA from 1 species